rnacentral:Y_RNA from 1 species
GGCUGGUCCGAUGGCAGUGGUGCUUAUAAUUAAUUGAUUCACAGUCAGUUACAGAUUUCUUUGUUCUUUCUCCACUUCCACUGCCGCGCUUGACUAGUCUUUU